CGCAAGCCUGACGGAGCAAGACCGCGUGGGGAUGACGGCCUAAUGGUUGUAAACCCCUUUUCUCUGGGAAGAAGACUGACGGUACCAGAGGAAUCAGCCUCGGCUAACUCCGUGCCAGCAGCCGCGGUAAUACGGAGGAGGCAAGCGUUAUCCGGAAUUAUUGGGCGUAAAGCGUCCGUAGGUGGUUAUUCAAGUCUGCUGUCAAAGCGUGGGGCUUAACUCCAUAGAGGCAGUGGAAACUGGAUGACUUGAGUGCGGUAGGGGUCGAGGGAAUUCCCAGUGUAGCGGUGAAAUGCGUAGAUAUUGGGAAGAACACCAGUGGCGAAAGCGCUCGACUGGGCCUGCACUGACACUGAGGGACGAAAGCUAGGGGAGCG
rnacentral:rRNA from 1 species